GAGGAUGAAAUGGUAACCCAGUAGCCCAAAAGACAAAGUCCUUCUCAACAAAGCCUAACCAACAGGCAAUGGAUUAUAGUGAUUCAGAGGAAAGAUAAGAAGGUUCCUUUGUCUUGGACCUCCACUAGACAUCAAGGAAACAUGCCAAAAAAGUAAACAACAAAGGCCCCCACACCUUUCCAAACUACAACCCAAAAUAAGUUGAUCUGAGAAACAAAUUGCAAUGCCGCAUGCAAAGCAGAUGUGUCCAAAUUCAUGUAGGACCAGACACAUCCUGAACCUUUCAGUGCAACAGCUGUUCAAGACUUUCUUCAAAAUCAUCCAAGCACAAGGGUUGAUAAAAUACACACAAAAUGGCUGAUGCUCAAACCAACCAAAACACCAGGCUCUUUGCUGAAACCUCUGAGAAGGGUUCCUGGCUCCAGGUCAGCCUCAAUGGAAUAAAGGAAGAUCACCUACCACUUCAAACUGAAGAGCUGAAGGAGUUGUAUCAAGAUACAGAGUGCAGCAAGUAUAGGAAACAUUAGAGAAACUGACCUGUCUGGAGAUGGCAAGCUGCAGAGCCAGCAUCUAAAAUGGCAGCUGAAGCUUGUCGGCUUUGCGGAGGGCCUCGAGGUGAAGAAUCCAUAGGCCCUGAGGUCUGAUCUCCCCAGCAGAUGGGUCUCUGUGUCGUGCUGGGACGCAGUGAAGCCAUGUGUGCACUUGGCAAGGCGAUGGCUGCUUUGACAGGGUCUUACUCUAUCACCCAGGCUGGAGUGCAGUGGCAUGAUCACUGCUCAUUGCAGCCUCAACCUCCCAGGGCCCAAGCGAUCCUCCCAUCUUAGCCUCCCAAGGUGCUGGGACCACAGGCGUGCUCCCCACGCCCAGCUAAUUUAUAGAAUUUUUUGUAGACCCGGGGUUUCAACAUGCUAUCCAGGCUAGUCUGGAACUACUAGGCUCAAGUGAUCCUCCCACUUUGGCAUCCCAAAACCCUGGGAUUACAGGCAUAAGCCACCACGCCCAGCUACUAAAUGGCUUAUUUCUAAGGUCCACUCAGUAUAUAGCAGCUUUUAUAAUUUUACAAAUAUUGGCUUUCCAUGAAUUUGUACAUCAAAGAAUAUUUUUCUUUGGUGUUUAUAAAAGUGAGAUUGAAAAAUCAUGGUUUCUCUCAUAAUUAUUCAGGAAAAAUAAUACACAAUUAUGAAGAAAUUUUUAGAUUUAUUUUAUCUUCUUUCACAAAUAAUAAAUUUACAGAACCCUCAAAAA
rnacentral:lncRNA from 1 species